rnacentral:rRNA from 2 species
GGAUCAAUUUAUUGGUCGUGCUAUUGUACGUACUGGUAUUAUUGAUUCCUACCUUCUGACGAACCAUGAUGUCAUUAAUUUGGUGUCUUGGGGAAUCAGGACUGUUACUUUGAAAAAAUUAGAGUGUUUAAAGCAGGCUCACGCUUGAAUACAUUAGCAUGGAAUAACGAAAUAGGACGUUUGAUUCUAUUUUGUUGGUUUCUAGGAUCGACGUA